rnacentral:rRNA from 1 species
UGAACGCUGGCGGCAGGCCUAACACAUGCAAGUCGAGCGGUAGCACAGAGAGCUUGCUCUCGGGUGACGAGCGGCGGACGGGUGAGUAAUGUCUGGGAAACUGCCUGAUGGAGGGGGAUAACUACUGGAAACGGUAGCUAAUACCGCAUAACGUCGCAAGACCAAAGUGGGGGACCUUCGGGCCUCAUGCCAUCAGAUGUGCCCAGAUGGGAUUAGCUAGUAGGUGGGGUAACGGCUCACCUAGGCGACGAUCCCUAGCUGGUCUGAGAGGAUGACCAGCCACACUGGAACUGAGACACGGUCCAGACUCCUACGGGAGGCAGCAGUGGGGAAUAUUGCACAAUGGGCGCAAGCCUGAUGCAGCCAUGCCGCGUGUGUGAAGAAGGCCUUCGGGUUGUAAAGCACUUUCAGCGGGGAGGAAGGCGGUGAGGUUAAUAACCUCAUCGAUUGACGUUACCCGCAGAAGAAGCACCGGCUAACUCCGUGCCAGCAGCCGCGGUAAUACGGAGGGUGCAAGCGUUAAUCGGAAUUACUGGGCGUAAAGCGCACGCAGGCGGUCUGUCAAGUCGGAUGUGAAAUCCCCGGGCUCAACCUGGGAACUGCAUUCGAAACUGGCAGGCUAGAGUCUUGUAGAGGGGGGUAGAAUUCCAGGUGUAGCGGUGAAAUGCGUAGAGAUCUGGAGGAAUACCGGUGGCGAAGGCGGCCCCCUGGACAAAGACUGACGCUCAGGUGCGAAAGCGUGGGGAGCAAACAGGAUUAGAUACCCUGGUAGUCCACGCYGUAAACGAUGUCGAUUUGGAGGUUGUGCCCUUGAGGCGUGGCUUCCGGAGCUAACGCGUUAAAUCGACCGCCUGGGGAGUACGGCCGCAAGGUUAAAACUCAAAUGAAUUGACGGGGGCCCGCACAAGCGGUGGAGCAUGUGGUUUAAUUCGAUGCAACGCGAAGAACCUUACCUGGUCUUGACAUCCACAGAACUUUCCAGAGAUGGAUUGGUGCCUUCGGGAACUGUGAGACAGGUGCUGCAUGGCUGUCGUCAGCUCGUGUUGUGAAAUGUUGGGUUAAGUCCCGCAACGAGCGCAACCCUUAUCCUUUGUUGCCAGCGGUUCGGCCGGGAACUCAAAGGAGACUGCCAGUGAUAAACUGGAGGAAGGUGGGGAUGACGUCAAGUCAUCAUGGCCCUUACGACCAGGGCUACACACGUGCUACAAUGGCAUAUACAAAGAGAAGCGACCUCGCGAGAGCAAGCGGACCUCAUAAAGUAUGUCGUAGUCCGGAUUGGAGUCUGCAACUCGACUCCAUGAAGUCGGAAUCGCUAGUAAUCGUAGAUCAGAAUGCUACGGUGAAUACGUUCCCGGGCCUUGUACACACCGCCCGUCACACCAUGGGAGUGGGUUGCAAAAGAAGUAGGUAGCUUAACCUUCGGGAGGGCGCUUACCACUUUGUGAUUCAUG